CAGCAUGCCCAGGGCAUUGGUGGCAUCUAACAUAGGCAGGCAGUAUUCCCAGGUCAGUAGUGGCAUCUAACAUAGUCAGGCAGCAUGCCCAGGUCACUUUUGGCACUUAACAUAGGCAGACAGCAUGCCCAGGUCACUGGUGGCAUCUAACAUAGGCAGGCAGUAUGCCCAGGUUACUAGUGGCAUUUAACAUAGUCAGGCAGCAUGCCCAAGUCACUUUUGGCACUUAACAUAGGCAGACAGUAUGCCCAGGUCACUGGUGGCAUCUAACACAGGCACGCAGCAUGCCCAGGGCACUGGUGGCAUCUAACAUAGGCAGGCAGCAUGCCCAGGUCACUGAUGGCAUCUAACAUAGGCAGGCAGCAUGCACAGGUCACUGGUGGCAUCUAACACAGGCACGCAGCAUGCCCAGGGCACUGGUGGCAUCUAACAUAGGCAGGCAGCAUGCCCAGGUCACUGAUGGCAUCUAACAUAGGCAGGCAGCAUGUGCAGGGCACUGGUGGCAUCUAUCAUAGGCAGGCAGCAUGCCCAGGUCACUGGUAGCAUCUAACAUAGGCAGGCAGCAUGCCCGGGUCCAAGGUGGUAUCUAACAUAGGCAGGCAGCAGGCCCAGGGCACUGGUGGUAUCUAACAUAGGCAGGCAGCAUAUGCAGUCACAGGUGGCAUCUAACAUAGGCAGGCAACAUGCCGGGUCACUUGGGACAUCUAACAUAGGCAGGCAGCAUGUGCAGGUCACUGGUGGCAUCUAACACAGGCACGCAGCAUGCCGGGUCACUGGUGACAUCUAACAUAGGCACAUAGAUACUUCCUUUUUGCUGAGAAUUUCAAUGUUUCACACGUAAGAACACAGCAUGCCCAGGGCACUGGUGGCAUCUACCAUAGGCAAGCAGCAUGCCCAGGUCACUGGUGGCAUCUAACAUAUGCACACAGCAUGCCCAGUGCAUUGUUGGCAUUUAACACAGACAGGCAGCAUGCCCAGGGCACUGGUGGCAUCUAACAUAGGCAUUCAGCAUGCCCAGGGCAUUGGUGGCAUGUAACAUAGGCAGGCAGCAUGCCCAGGUCACUUUUUGGCACUUAACAUAGGCAGACAGCAUGCCCAGGUCACUGGUGGCAUCUAAAAUAGGCAGGCAGCAUGCACAGGGCACUGGUGGCAUUUAACAUAGGCAGGCAACAUGCCCAGGGCACUGGUGGCAUCUAACAUAGGCAUUCAGCAUGCAUUGGUGGCAUCUAACAUAGGCAGGCAGUAUGCCCAGGUCACUAGUUGCAUCUAACAUAGUCAGGCAGCAUGCCCAGGUCACUUUUGGCACUUAACAUAGGCAGACAGCAUGCCCAGGUCACUGGUGGCAUCUAACACAGGCACCCAGCAUGCCAAGGGCACUGGUGGCCUCUAACAUAGGCAGGCAGCAUGCCCAGAUCACAUUUGGCACUUAACAUAGGCAGACAGCAUGCCCAGGUCACUGAUGGCAUCUAACAUAGGCAGGCAGUAUGCACAGGGCACUGGUGGCAUCUAACAUAGGCAGGCAGCAUGUGCAGGGCACUGGUGGCAUCUAUUAUAGGCAGGCAGUAUGCCCAGGUCACUGGUGGCAUCUAACAUAGGCAGGCAGCAUGCCUGGGUCCAAGGUGGUAUCUAACAUAGGCAGGCAGCAGGCCCAGGGCACUGGUGGUAUCUAACAUAGGCAGGCAGCAUAUGCAGGUCACUGGUGGCAUCUAACACAGGCACGCAGCAUGCC